GUAGAGAACGAAAGUUUUUGCUGCUUCUUUAUUUUUUCUCCUCGUUGUUUCGAGAUCCCAGAAAGGCCUGGUUUUUUGAGACUCGAGAGUAACAGCAACGGAAAACACACCCCGAACCGAUGUUUUCUUCUGUUUGUCUUCUGGUACUGUAAUGGUUUUCACCCUGUAUCGCUUGCUU